rnacentral:rRNA from 1 species
CGCCCAGACUCCUACGGGAGGCAGCAGUGGGGAAUAUUGCACAAUGGGGGGAACCCUGAUGCAGCAAUGCCGCGUGGGUGAAGAAGCACUCCGGUGCGUAAAGCCCUGUCAGCAGGGAAGAAAAUGACAGUACCUGACCAAGAAGCCCCGGCUAACUACGUGCCAGCAGCCGCGGUAAUACGUAGGGGGCAAGCGUUAUCCGGAUUUACUGGGUGUAAAGGGAGCGUAGACGGUUGCGCAAGUCUGGAGUGAAAGGCGGGGGCCCAACCCCCGGACUGCUCUGGAAACUGUGUAACUGGAGUGCAGGAGAGGUAAGUGGAAUUCCUAGUGUAGCGGUGAAAUGCGUAGAUAUUAGGAGGAACACCAGUGGCGAAGGCGGCUUACUGGACUGUAACUGACGUUGAGGCUCGAAAGCGUGGGGAGCAAACAGGAUUAGAUACCCUCGUA